CCUACGGGGCGCAGCAGUGAGGAAUAUUGGUCAAUGGCCGGAAGUCUGAACCAGCCAAGCCGCGUGAAGGACGAAGGUGCCAAGCAUUGUAAACUUCUUUUGUCAAGGGACAAAAUCAGGCUCGAGAGCCUGACCGCGGGUACUUGAAGAAAAAGCAUCGGCUAACUCCGUGCCAGCAGCCGCGGUAAUACGGAGGAUGCGAGCGUUAUCCGGAUUUAUUGGGUUUAAAGGGUGCGUAGGCGGGCUGUUAAGUCAGCGGUAAAAGCCCGGGGCUCAACCCCGGCGAGCCGUUGAGACUGGCUGUCUUGAGAUGGCGAGAGGUAUGCGGAAUGCGCGGUGUAGCGGUGAAAUGCUUAGAUAUUGCGCAGAACUCCGAUUGCGAAGGCAGCAUACCGGAGGGGAUCUGACGCUGAGGCACGAAAGCGUGGGUAUCGAACAGGAUUAGAUACCCUUGUAGUC
rnacentral:rRNA from 1 species